rnacentral:rRNA from 1 species
AGAACGAACGCUGGCGGCAUGCCUAAUACAUGCAAGUCGAACGAACACUUCGGUGUUAGUGGCGCACGGGUGCGUAACGCGUGGGAAUCUGCCCUUGGGUUCGGAAUAACAGUUGGAAACGACUGCUAAUACCGGAUGAUAUCGAAAGAUCAAAGAUUUAUCACCCAGGGAUGAGCCCGCGUAGGAUUAGCUAGUUGGUGAGGUAAAGGCUCACCAAGGCGACGAUCCUUAGCUGGUCUGAGAGGAUGAUCAGCCACACUGGGACUGAGACACGGCCCAGACUCCUACGGGAGCAGCAGUAGGGAAUAUGGACAAGUGGGCGCAAGCCUGGAUCCAGCAAUGCCGCGUGAGUGAGUGAAGGCCGUUAGGGUUGUAAAGCUCUUUACCCGAGAUGAUAAUGACAGUAGUCGGAGAACGUAACGCCCCGGACUAACC